AAGGAGUCUAACAUGCCCGCGAGUGUUAGGGUGGAAAACCCUUGCGCGUAAUGAAAGUGAAAGUUGGGACCUCUGUCAUGGGGGGCACCGACGCCCGGCCUUGAACUUCUGUGACGGCGCCGCGGUAGAGCGUGUAUGUUGGGACCCGAAAGAUGGUGAACUAUGCCUGAAUAGGGCGAAGCCAGAGGAAACUCUGGUGGAGGCUCGUAGCGAUUCUGACGUGCAAAUCGAUCGUCAAAUUUGGGUAUAGGGGCGAAAGACUAAUCGAACCAUCUAGUAGCUGGUUCCUGC
rnacentral:misc_RNA from 1 species